rnacentral:ncRNA from 1 species
CUAAAACCUUUGAAGAGAAUAGUAAUAUGGUUUUAAUUUUAAGAGAGUCAGUGUUAGGUGAAAACUGAUAAUUAAUCCUUAUGAAUCCACCUCUGAGGGACUGCGAUGAGCAGUACGGCUUAAACCGUUAUUUUGUUGAGAGGAUAGCUUUAUCAAGCUAUCAAUUAGGGUGGUAACGCGGAGUCUUUCGUCCCUUUG